GUUUAAGUCCACACUGCACAGGUCCAUCUCUAGUGAAUACAAGCAGCCUGCCCAGACUCACACACGGCUCCAGGACCAGAGGUGAGUGCCAGUCCGAAGAGGGACAUCAAGGCCCAAGGAGCGAGGCCUCAUUCCGUUAAGUCAUGCCCAGCGCCCCAGCGACCUGGGAGUCGCCCAACCACAACACAGGACAUCCUUAAAGCUGGAUCUGUGGGGUCAGGACUCUGUGUGCCUGGGGGGUCGGGACUCCGUGUGCCUGGGGGGUCAGGACUCCGUGGUGUAAUGAGCGACCAGCCCUGGAAGCCCCUGACUCUGGCUGCGUUACGUCCAUCUGACUCCAGGUCUAAUUACGGCGCUGUGGAGAGGAUCCUGAAGAGCUACGAGAACACUGCCUGGAGCCAGCGGUACCAGAACCAUACCCAACCCACUGAGUCCAGCCCUAACCCUGGACCCAGCCUCAGCCCUAACCCUGGUCUCAGCCCCAGCCCUAACCCUGGUCUCAACCCCAGUCCUAACCCUGGUCUCAACCCCAGUCCUAACCCUGGUCUCAACCCCAGUCCUAACCCUGGUCUCAGCCCCCGUCCUAACCCUGGUCUCAGCCCCCGUCCUAACCCUGGUCUCAGCCCCCGUCCUAACCCUGGUCUCAGCCCCAGUCCUAACCCUGGUCUCAGCCCCAGUCCUAACCCUGGUCUCAGCCCCAGCCCUAACCCUGGUCUCAACCCCGUCUCAGCCCCAGCCCUAACCCUGGUCUCAACCCCGUCUCAGCCCCAGUCCUAACCCUGGUCUCAGCCCCAGUCCUAACCCUGGUCUCAGCCCCAGCCCUAACCCUGGUCUCAGCCCCAGCCCUAACCCUGGUCUCAGCCCCCGUCUCAGCCCCAGCCCUAACCCUGGUCCCAGCCCCAGACAGGAAGAGGAACUCAUGGAUCUUCUGGAGGAGAUGAUGGAUAAGGAUUACUGGGAUCAGUCAGGCCCUGCCUCUGGACACUCCUCCCACACACACUCUCACCACAGCCAGCUGACCAGCUCCCACAGAGAGACAAGGCUAACCAUGCAGGUCCUCUCCACAAGUUCCCGAGCGUGUGUGUGUGUCCCACCACCCACCAACCCCUGACAUCCGAACCCUGACCUCCGACCCUUCUCUCUAGGAGUCCCAGGGCCCCAGCGGUUUGGGUUCCACUGAGGGC
ensembl:lncRNA